GGAUGGCCGCGCGCACCUGCCCGACGCACCUGCGCCCACCUGCCCGGGACCCGGACUGGGGCUGGGGCUGGGCCGGGAUAGCAGCCCCCGAAGUGGGAAGGAACUGGCUCCUCGGGGCGACUCCGAUUCCGGAUGAAGCCCAGCCCCUCGCUUCCCAACCACCCACAGCUGGGACCUCUCUGGGGAAAUUCUCUCUUCACCCUGCCCCACCCCUGGCUUAAGCUUUGGAGCUGAGUUUGGCACCUCCUCCAGGAAGCCUUCCUGGAUGUCCUCUGCAUUCCCAUAGCAGGCCAGAUCAGCCUGUGCCGAAGUUUCCUGUGGAUUUCUACGGACUCACAAGACUCGUGGAUGAGCAUACCGGUUCAGAACCCAAGGCCCUUCCCCGCUCCAACUCACCCCCCACCAUGCCCAGCACAGUAGCUGCUCAAAAAUGUAUUUUGAGGGACACCUGGGUGGCUCAGUCCCUUAAGCAUCUGCCUUCAGCUCAGGUCAUGAUCCCAGGGUCCUGACAUUGAGUUGAGUCCCACAUGGGGCUCCAUGCUCAGUGGGGAGUCUGCUUCUUCCUCUACCCUCUCCCAGUGCCUGCUCUCUCUCAAAUAAAAUCUUUAAAAAAUAAA